UGCGGGGUAGAGCAGUCUGGUAGCUCGUCGGGCUCAUAACCCGAAGGUCGUUGGUUCGAAUCCAGCCCCCGCUACCA
rnacentral:tRNA from 1 species